AAAUGAGGAACUUUUAUAAUAUGAGAUGUGCUAUCAGCCCUUCGUAAAGAAGGAGAACGGGGCGUCUGAAUUGUUGCAGAGUAGCUUUUUGUUGCAGGGAUUGGAGAUUUUGGUUGCAACCGCGCCAUCACAUCAUUGUUAGCAGAAGAAAUAGGACUUAACUGAUUUGAAAGGAUGUUAGAAACAGAAGGAGAUUUUGACUUUAAAGAUGGGCGAUUCACCGGGGGUACAUUUGAAGAAGUCGUUUGCACAGUUGGAAUAGGAGGAAGAGACGUAUGUGCUGGACGAGAACUCAGCGGAGUAAGGCUUCCUGAAGGAGUUCGCUGAAGAGGAGCUCUUGGAGGAUUGUAAGUUGAGGCAUUGACCCCACCAUAUACAUCAGGAAGUUUCAGAGGUGUACCUUGCAUUUCCAUAAUUUCUUUCAAAGUUUGGUAAAUAUUUGGACGAUGGGAAGGUUGUUCUUGAAGGCAUGUGGCUAUGAAACGCUUCAUCCUAUCACUAUAUCGUGGAAAGGGUGGAAAAGAGAAAGAAGCCUUAAGUAUUGCA